ensembl:misc_RNA Metazoa_SRP Metazoan signal recognition particle RNA
GCUGGGUGCAGUGGUACAUGCCUAUAGUCCCAACUACUCAGGAGGCUGAGGCAGGAGGAUCAUUUGAGCCCAGGAGUUCAAGGGUGUAGUGCAUUAUGAUCAAACCUGCGAAUAGCCACUGUACUCUAGCCUGGGCAACAUAGUGAUACCAAGUCUCUA